rnacentral:rRNA from 1 species
UGAGGAAUAUUGGGCAAUGCCCGCAAGGGUGACCCAGCAACGCCGCGUGGAGGAUGAAUGUCGUAAGAUUGUAAACUCCUGUUAGAGGGGAAGAAUAGUACCGGUUGGACCGGUAUAUGACUGUACCCUCAGAGAAAGCCCCGGCUAACUACGUGCCAGCAGCCGCGGUAAUACGUAGGGGGCAAGCGUUGUCCGGAUUUACUGGGUGUAAAGGGCGCGCAGGCGGGAUAAAAAGUCAGUGGUGAAAUCCUACAGCUUAACUGUAGAACUGCCUUUGAUACUUUUAUUCUUGAGUUCGGGAGAGAGUGACGGAAUUCCGGGUGUAGUGGUGAAAUACGUAGAUAUCUGGAAGAACACCAGUUGCGAAGGCGGUCUCUUGGUCCGACACUGACGCUGAGGCGCGAAAGCGUGGGGAGCAAACA